rnacentral:lncRNA from 1 species
CACCUCGUCACCGAUGUUGAGAUUCUCCUUCCACGCUUUGAUCACGAAGACAUCGUUGACCGCAAUGCAGGCGAUGGUCUCGACGCCCUUCGCCUUGAGCUCCCCCGACUUUUCCACGAAUCCCGGGACGUGUUUCUGGGAGCAGGUCGGGGUGAAGGCGCCGGGGACGGCGAAGAGGACGGCCUUCUUGGAUUUGGUGAGGUCGGAGACAGUCACGGUCUGGACGUCGCCGGCGGCGUCCAGAUAGGACAGGGUGGCUUCGGGGAGCUUGUCGCCGACGGCGAUGGUGGCGGAUAUGGGUUUGGAGGCGGUGGUGGAGAAGCGGAGGAGGGGUUUUGGGCGGGGGGAGUGUUUGAGGGGGAGAGGGGUGUAGGAGAUUUUGGAGGAGAAGGAUUUGGGAGAGAAGAGAGAUGUUUUGGGUGCGACGGCGGCGGUGGUGGUGGAGAAAGCGAGGGACUUGGGGGCUGUGAGGAGCCUUGAGAUCGUGAGGGAGGCUGCCAUGUUUGGUGGUUUGAGUUUUAG